rnacentral:rRNA from 1 species
UAAGACGAACCGUGCGAACGUUGUUCGGAAUCACUGGGCUUAAAGGGCGCGUAGGUGGUCUGUCAAGUCGGGGGUGAAAUCUUUCGGCUCAACCGGAAAACUGCCUUCGAUACUGACAGGCUGGAGGGAGGUAGGGGUUGCGGGAACUACCAGUGGAGCGGUGAAAUGCGUUGAUAUUGGUAGGAACGCCGGUGGCGAAAGCGCGCAACUGGACCUCUUCUGACACUGAGGCGCGAAAGCUAGGGGAGCAAACGGGAUUAGAUACCCCGGUAGUCCUAGCCUUAAACGAUGAGGACUAGGUUGUGGACUAGACAUGGGUUCACAGCCGAAGCUAAAGUGCUAAGUCCUCCGCCUGGGGAGUAUGGUCGCAAGGCUG